AGAGUUUGAUCCUGGCUCAGGAUGAACGCUAGCUACAGGCUUAACACAUGCAAGGUCGAGGGGCAGCAUGUUGGUUGCUUGCAACCAACGAUGGCGACCGGCGCACGGGUGAGUAACGCGUAUCCAACCUACCCUUGUCCAUCGGAUAACCCGUCGAAAGGCGGCCUAACACGAUAUGCGGUUCACGGCAGGCAUCUAAGGUGAACGAAAUGUGAAGGAGAAGGAUGGGGAUGCGUCUGAUUAGCUUGUUGGCGGGGUAACGACCCACCAAGGCUACGAUCGAGUAGGGGUUCUGAGAGGAAGGUCCCCCACAUUGGAACUGAGACACGGUCCAAACUCCGUACGGAGGCA
rnacentral:rRNA from 1 species